AUUGAACGCUGGCGGCAGGCCUAACACAUGCAAGUCGAACGAGUGGCGGAAGGGUGAGUAAUGUCUGGGAAACUGCCUGAUGGAGGGGGAUAACAACUGGAAAAUGUAGCUAAUACCGCAUACCAUCGGAUGUGCACAGAUGGGAUUAGCUAGUAGGUGGGGUAAAGGCUCACCUAGGCGACGAGCCCUCGCUGGUCUGAGAGGAUGACCGGCCACACUGGAACUGAGACACGGUCCAGACUCCUACGGGAGGCAGCAGUGGGGAAUAUUGCACAAUGGGCGCAAGCCUGAUGCAGCCAUGCCGCGUGUAUGAAGAAGGCCUUCGGGUUGUAAAGUACUUUCAGCGGGGAGGCGUUACCCGCAGAAGAAGCACCGGCUAACUCCGUGCCAGCAGCCGCGGUAAUAC
rnacentral:rRNA from 1 species